AUUGAACGCUGGCGGCAGGCUUAACACAUGCAAGUCGAGCGAGCGGCGGACGGGUGAGUAAUGUCUGGGAAACUGCCCGAUGGAGGGGGAUAACUACUGGAAACGGUAGCUAAUACCGCAUACCAUCAGAUGUGCCCAGAUGGGAUUAGCUAGUAGGUGGGGUAAUGGCCCACCUAGGCGACGAUCCCUAGCUGGGCUGAGAGGAUGACCAGCCACACUGGCACGGCGGCCCGGUCCAAACCCCCACGGGAGGCAGCAGUGGGGAAUCUUGCGCAUUGGGCGCAAGCCUGAUGCCGCCAUGCCGCGUGUGUGAAGAAGGCCUUCGGGUUGUGAAGCACUUUCAGCGAGGAGGCGUUACUCGCAGAAGAAGCCCCGGCUAACUCCGUGCCAGCAGCCGCGGUAAUAC
rnacentral:rRNA from 1 species